GCCUCCCUCGAGAUCCCCUCGCAGCCAAAAAGCAACCAUAACCCCAAGCCAAUCCUCUGAGCCCCUUGGAAGCAUCAAGGCAACCGAAGCGCGGGGUGCACCGUGUGUGCCACCGGUAUUCCCGCCGCCUCUCCCCUGCGCCCGAGCCAGGUCUCACGCAAGCCGUGCCUCUCUUCUAGCCCGCCUCUGCGCCCGAGCCAGGUCUCACGCAAGCCAUGCCUCUCUUCUACCCCGCCUCUGCGCCCCGAUGGAGCCAGCCGCUGCUUGGAACCGCGCGGACACCGUCGCCAGGUCGAAGCUCCUCCAGCCCGUGUCGUCGGCAUCUAGUAGGCCAGAUCCGCGCUCCGUCCCUUCCUCUUUGUCUCCUCCCGUUCCCCCUAACCUCGUGCUCUCUCCCCCGUGACCCGUGCAGGAGCCGCAAUGGCCGAUGCACGUUGGAGCUCCUAAGCCGUCGCCUGCCGCCGUUGUUCACCGGAUCCGGUCCCUCCUCACCGGAUCUACUCGAUACCUCGCGGAUCCGUCCUGCCCCAUUUUGAUCCGCUCAUUCCCAAGUAUGCUCAUCGCCGGAGCUCUGUUCCUGCUGUUGUUUGUCUCCUCAGUCGGGAACGAGGACUGGAGCGAGCAUGUCGCUCGCUUGGCCCGCUCGUAGGCCAGCUGCUUGCCAGGCCAAGCCAUGUCGGCCUAGUUGCGUCGUGGAGUCGCACCAAGCGCAGCAUCCCCAGCCCCGCUAGGAGGCCGACCCAUCUCACCCAACCAAGCCGCAGCCAAGCCCAGACCUCGCCCGUCCAAGCGCCCCUCCUCGGCCUAGCUCCCUCAACCAAACCGACCCACCUCGAGGUGGCCCGAUGUGAUUAGCCAAACGCCGACCCCCUAUCCAGCACCGUGCGUGAAUAAUUGUUAUAUUGAGCCCUUAACCAUAGGCCAGUUUCGAACCAGAUUUGGCCCGUUAGCAUUUUUCUGUUUAAUGAAUUUUGUCAAUUAUAUAGAUUUUACAAAUUUCAGAAAAAGGCCCUAGACUUCGUCCAGAUUUGGCCCGUUAGCAUUUUUCUGUCCAAUGAAUUUUGUCAGUUAUCUAGAGUUUACAAAUUUCAGAAAAAAGCCCUAGACUUCAUGCAUAUAAUAACUAUUUAACUGUAUGUCAGAUUAAAAAUCUUCAUAUAUGGAAAUUUACUUAUAUUUUGUGUAUAUUAAUAAUAUGCCAUUUUCAACCAUGAUAAAAAUGUUUAGACUUGUUGUUUUAUUAAAUUUGCAAAAAUGUCAUGUUAAAAUGAUUUAUUAAAUAUCUAAAUAACCAUCGCUCGGAUUAAAAUGACCCACUUAUGUAACUUGACUAGAAAAAUGUGUAGGAUAACAUGGUGACAUUUAUUUUGUUGUUUAACAACAUUAAUAUUGUGUUCUAGGUAGAACAUUAAUGAAAUCUUAAUUUGCAUAUGGGGAC
rnacentral:lncRNA from 1 species